AUUGAACGCUGGCGGAAUGCUUUACACAUGCAAGUCGAACGGCAGCACGGGGCAACCUGGUGGCGAGUGGCGAACGGGUGAGUAAUACAUCGGAACGUGCCCAAUCGUGGGGGAUAACGUAGCGAAAGUUACGCUAAUACCGCAUACGAUCUACGGAUGAAAGCGGGGGAUCGCAAGACCUCGCGCGAAUGGAGCGGCCGAUGUCAGAUUAGGUAGUUGGUGGGGUAAAGGCUCACCAAGCCAACGAUCUGUAGCUGGUCUGAGAGGACGACCAGCCACACUGGAACUGAGACACGGUCCAGACUCCUACGGGAGGCAGCAGUGGGGAAUUUUGGACAAUGGGCGCAAGCCUGAUCCAGCCAUUCCGCGUGCAGGAUGAAGGCCUUCGGGUUGUAAACUGCUUUUGUACGGACGAAACGGUCUGCCCUAAUACGGCGGGCUAAUGACGGUACCGUAAGAAUAAGCACCGGCUAACUACGUGCCAGCAGCCGCGGUAAAUCACG
rnacentral:rRNA from 1 species